rnacentral:rRNA from 1 species
UACAGAGGUCUCAAGCGUUGUUCGGAUUCAUUGGGCGUAAAGGGUGCGUAGGCGGCGCGGUAAGUCGGGUGUGAAAUCUCGGAGCUUAACUCCGAAACUGCAUUCGAUACUGCCGUGCUUGAGGACUGGAGAGGAGACUGGAAUUUACGGUGUAGCGGUGAAAUGCGUAGAUAUCGUAAGGAAGACCAGUGGCGAAGGCGGGUCACU